rnacentral:lncRNA from 1 species
UUGGAUCCGAAUGAGAUCCUAAAAGUGGCCAAUGAGCCCCAAAAAAAUCGUGGCCAAGGUUGUGAUUCAAACACGCGAGGUAAAUUUUGAUCUGCCACCGUAUGAUCGCCACAUCAGGCUCUUCUUCUCAACCCUUCAAGGAAUGGAUCAAGAACUGGUGCCUAGUAUUAACCGCAUCCGAGUCUAAUCAAAAUCACAACCACCCCAUUUGGAAAAAGUAGCCAUGAGAAAAAAAAGAGAAAAAAUGAAGAAGAAAAGCAAGUUGAAAAACAA